GGAUGAUUGGGGAGCUUCCUGUACACCAAGGUUGUUGGUGUGCAAUGUUCUACUGUCAGGGUUGUGUCUGGAUAAUGGACUGGACAUGGGCUGGCCUGGUCUUUCCUGGGCGGUGUUCCGUGGUGCUCUGGUGUGGGGGCUGCUUGAGGGGCAUUCAAUUUGUUAUCAUUCGUCCAGACAGUGAGUGUGUCUUCCACAUGCCUGAUGGACGGGACUGGGUGUGGUUGAAACUCGGGUGGAGCUUUGGCUUCUGUAUCUCUUAGUGCGGUUUCUGCGAGGGGUGCGGCUGGAGGGCUACCUAUUGCACGCCGCUUCUUUGGUGAUAAAAUAGUCCCCGG
rnacentral:lncRNA from 1 species